rnacentral:rRNA from 1 species
UACACUCCUGCGGGAGGCAGCAGUGGGGAAUUUUGGACAAUGGGCGAAAGCCUGAUCCAGCAAUGCCGCGUGUGUGAAGAAGGCCUUCGGGUUGUAAAGCACUUUUGUCCGGAAAGAAAUCCUUGGCUCUAAUACAGUCGGGGGAUGACGGUACCGGAAGAAUAAGCACCGGCUAACUACGUGCCAGCAGCCGCGGUAAUACGUAGGGUGCGAGCGUUAAUCGGAAUUACUGGGCGUAAAGCGUGCGCAGGCGGUUUGCUAAGACCGAUGUGAAAUCCCCGGGCUCAACCUGGGAACUGCAUUGGUGACUGGCAGGCUAGAGUAUGGCAGAGGGGGGUAGAAUUCCACGUGUAGCAGUGAAAUGCGUAGAGAUGUGGAGGAAUACCGAUGGCGAAGGCAGCCCCCUGGGCCAAUACUGACGCUCAUGCACGAAAGCGUGGGGAGCAAACAGGAUUAGAAACCCUUGUAGUCCC